AAAAACUGAAAUAAAAUACACUCUGUAGUAGUUCUACUAAUGUAAAUCUGUGAAUUAUCCUUAAUACCAGACGGUAAAAUCCAAACUGUAAGUACAGAUCAGGAGCCAAAUUAUUCUAAAGAAAACUUAAAGGUAAUUCAGGACAUGAAUGAUAAAAUAAAUAAGUGGACUUAUUUGAGGGAUGGUCGUAUAGUGGUACCAUCCAAUUUAAUACGGACCACAGCCGUAACAGAACAUAAUGAGAUGCACUGGGGAGCUGAUAAUUUAUAUAAAAGUCUAAAUCAGAAAUUGAUAGGGCAGAACUUGUAUACUGUAAUAAAACAGGUGACUCAGCAAUGUGAAAUGUGUUUGAAAAUUAGCCAGGGCAACAGUGGCAAGUUGAUUUUUCCAGACUCCCAAGAACUGGGGGUACUGAUAUUUAUUAAAUGAAUGGACACCCCAAUGUAUCAUACAGUAUUAUGGACCUGCAACUUGGAAUCCUAAUGAACUCAUUAACGGUGCUCGAGAACCUAUCUACAAUCUGGUUCGUAUCAUUCGUCUACAGGCUGUCUUGGAAAUUAUUACUAAUCAAACAGCUAAAGCUUUUGAUGUGAAAUGCAAUUUAUCAACACAGGAUGGUUCUCGAUUACCGGCUAGCCGAAGAAGGAAGUGUUUGUGGUAAAGUAAAUGUUUCCAAUUGUUGUUUGAAAAUUGAUGACAAUGGUGAGGCAGUUAAACAAAUCACAUCAGAGAUAGGGAAGUUAGCCCAUGUUCCCGUCCGAACUUGGAAAGACGAAUACUGACUUGGACUUGUUUUCCUGGCUUCUCGGGAGCCCCUGGGUAAAACGAAUCCUAUUUUAUUUGUUAUGUGGAUUAGCCACCUUAUUGUUUUUGCCAUGUGCUGUUCCAUGUUUUAUAAGAUUAAUUCAACACGUUAUAACUAACAUGCAAUUUGCUAUUAUGGUUUCACCCGAUGGCGUUAAACAAAUGCGAGUGGUAUGACAAAAUGUACACACAAAAUAACAUUUUAAUAGCCAACAAGAAUUUGGAAACAAUUGACUCUUAA